rnacentral:rRNA from 1 species
AGAUUAAGUUAUUAAGGGCGCACGGUGGAUGCCUUGGCACUAGAAGCCGAUGAAGGACGUUACUAACGACGAUAUGCUUUGGGGAGCUGUAAGUAAGCUUUGAUCCAGAGAUUUCCGAAUGGGGAAACCCAGCAUGAGUUAUGUCAUGUUAUCGAUAUGUGAAUACAUAGCAUAUCAGAAGGCACACCCGGAGAACUGAAACAUCUUAGUACCCGGAGGAAGAGAAAGAAAAUUCGAUUCCCUUAGUAGCGGCGAGCGAAACGGGAAGAGCCCAAACCAACAAGCUUGCUUGUUGGGGUUGUAGGACACUCUAUACGGAGUUACAAAGGA